GUAUAGGGGAGCCGCAGGGAAACCGAGUCUUAACCGGGCGUUAAGUUGCAGGGUAUAGACCCGAAACCCGGUGAUCUAGCCAUGGGCAGGUUGAAGGUUGGGUAACACUAACUGGAGGACCGAACCGACUAAUGUUGAAAAAUUAGCGGAUGACCUGUGGCUGGGGGUGAAAGGCCAAUCAAACCGGGAGAUAGCUGGUUCUCCCCGAAAGCUAUUUAGGUAGCGCCUCGUGAAUUCAUCUCCGGGGGUAGAGCACUGUUUCGGCUAGGGGGCCAUCCCGGCUUACCAACCCGAUGCAAACUGCGAAUACCGGAGAAUGUUAUCACGGGAGACACACGGCGGGUGCUAACGUCCGUCGUGAAGAGGGAAACAACCCAGACCGCCAGCUAAGGUCCCAAAGUCAUGGUUAAGUGGGAAACGAUGUGGGAAGGCCCAGACAGCCAGGAUGUUGGCUUAGAAGCAGCCAUCAUUUAAAGAAAGCGUAAUAGCUCACUGGUCGAGUCGGCCUGCGCGGAAGAUGUAACGGGGCUAAACCAUGCACCGAAGCUGCGGCAGCGACACUAUGUGUUGUUGGGUAGGGGAGCGUUCUGUAAGCCUGUGAAGGUGGCCUGUGAGGGUUGCUGGAGGUAUCAGAAGUGCGAAUGCUGACAUAAGUAACGAUAAAGCGGGUGAAAAGCCCGCUCGCCGGAAGACCAAGGGUUCCUGUCCAACGUUAAUCGGGGCAGGGUGAGUCGACCCCUAAGGCGAGGCCGAAAGGCGUAGUCGAUGGGAAACGGGUUAAUAUUCCCGUACUUGGUGUUACUGCGAAGGGGGGACGGAGAAGGCUAUGUUGGCCGGGCGACGGUUGUCCCGGUUUAAGCGUGUAGGUGUGUGUUCCAGGUAAAUCCGGUUCACUUUAACACUGAGGCGUGAUGACGAGGCACUACGGUGCUGAAGCAACAAAUGCCCUGCUUCCAGGAAAAGCCUCUAAGCAUCAGGUAACAUCAAAUCGUACCCCAAACCGACACAGGUGGUCAGGUAGAGAAUACCAAGGCGCUUGAGAGAACUCGGGUGAAGGAACUAGGCAAAAUGGUGCCGUAACUUCGGGAGAAGGCACGCUGACAUGUAGGUGAAGUGAUUUACUCAUGGAGCUGAAGUCAGUCGAAGAUACCAGCUGGCUGCAACUGUUUAUUAAAAACACAGCACUGUGCAAACACGAAAGUGGACGUAUACGGUGUGACGCCUGCCCGGUGCCGGAAGGUUAAUUGAUGGGGUCAGCGCAAGCGAAGCUCCUGAUCGAAGCCCCGGUAAACGGCGGCCGUAACUAUAACGGUCCUAAGGUAGCGAAAUUCCUUGUCGGGUAAGUUCCGACCUGCACGAAUGGCGUAAUGAUGGCCAGGCUGUCUCCACCCGAGACUCAGUGAAAUUGAACUCGCUGUGAAGAUGCAGUGUACCCGCGGCAAGACGGAAAGACCCCGUGAACCUUUACUAUAGCUUGACACUGAACAUUGAGCCUUGAUGUGUAGGAUAGGUGGGAGGCUUUGAAGUGUGGACGCCAGUCUGCAUGGAGCCGACCUUGAAAUACCACCCUUUAAUGUUUGAUGUUCUAACGUGGACCCGUAAUCCGGGUUGCGGACAGUGUCUGGUGGGUAGUUUGACUGGGGCGGUCUCCUCCUAAAGAGUAACGGAGGAGCACGAAGGUUGGCUAAUCCUGGUCGGACAUCAGGAGGUUAGUGCAAUGGCAUAAGCCAGCUUGACUGCGAGCGUGACGGCGCGAGCAGGUGCGAAAGCAGGUCAUAGUGAUCCGGUGGUUCUGAAUGGAAGGGCCAUCGCUCAACGGAUAAAAGGUACUCCGGGGAUAACAGGCUGAUACCGCCCAAGAGUUCAUAUCGACGGCGGUGUUUGGCACCUCGAUGUCGGCUCAUCACAUCCUGGGGCUGAAGUAGGUCCCAAGGGUAUGGCUGUUCGCCAUUUAAAGUGGUACGCGAGCUGGGUUUAGAACGUCGUGAGACAGUUCGGUCCCUAUCUGCCGUGGGCGCUGGAGAACUGAGGGGGGCUGCUCCUAGUACGAGAGGACCGGAGUGGACGCAUCACUGGUGUUCGGGUUGUCAUGCCAAUGGCACUGCCCGGUAGCUAAAUGCGGAAGAGAUAAGUGCUGAAAGCAUCUAAGCACGAAACUUGCCCCGA
rnacentral:rRNA from 1 species